rnacentral:rRNA from 1 species
CAUGCAAGUCGAGGGGAAACGACAUCGAAAGCUUGCUUUUGAUGGGCGUCGACCGGCGCACGGGUGAGUAACGCGUAUCCAACCUGCCCACCACUUGGGGAUAACCUUGCGAAAGUAAGACUAAUACCCAAUGACGUCUCUAGAAGACAUCUGAAAGAGAUUAAAGAUUUAUCGGUGAUGGAUGGGGAUGCGUCUGAUCAGCUUGUUGGCGGGGUAACGGCCCACCAAGGCGACGAUCAGUAGGGGUUCUGAGAGGAAGGUCCCCCACAUUGGAACUGAGACACGGUCCAAACUCCUACGGGAGGCAGCAGUGAGGAAUAUUGGUCAAUGGGCGAGAGCCUGAACCAGCCAAGUAGCGUGCAGGAUGACGGCCCUAUGGGUCGUAAACUGCUUUUAUAAGGGAAUAAAGUGAGUCUCGUGAGACUUUUUGCAUGUACCUUAUGAAUAAGGACCGGCUAAUUCCGUGCCAGCAGCCGCGGUAAUACGGAAGGUCCGGGCGUUAUCCGGAUUUAUUGGGUUUAAAGGGAGCGUAGGCCGGAGAUUAAGCGUGUUGUGAAAUGUAGACGCUCAACGUCUGCACUGCAGCGCGAACUGGUUUCCUUGAGUACGCACAAAGUGGGCGGAAUUCGUGGUGUAGCGGUGAAAUGCUUAGAUAUCACGAAGAACUCCGAUUGCGAAGGCAGCUCACUGGAGCGCAACUGACGCUGAAGCUCGAAAGUGCGGGUAUCGAACAGGAUUAGAUACCCUGGUAGUCCGCACGGUAAACGAUGGAUGCCCGCUGUUGGUCUGAAUAGGUCAGCGGCCAAGCGAAAGCAUUAAGCAUCCCACCUGGGGAGUACGCCGGCAACGGUGAAACUCAAAGGAAUUGACGGGGGCCCGCACAAGCGGAGGAACAUGUGG